GAUGUUGUAGCUCAGUGGUAGAGUACUUGCCUUGCAUGUGGGGGACACUGGGUUCAAUACUCAGCACCACA
rnacentral:tRNA from 1 species